rnacentral:rRNA from 1 species
CGGAGGGGGCUAGCGUUGUUCGGAAUUACUGGGCGUAAAGCGCACGUAGGCGGCUUUGUAAGUUAGAGGUGAAAGCCUGGAGCUCAACUCCAGAACUGCCUUUAAGACUGCAUCGCUUGAAUCCAGGAGAGGUGAGUGGAAUUCCGAGUGUAGAGGUGAAAUUCGUAGAUAUUCGGAAGAACACCAGUGGCGAAGGCGGCUCACUGGACUGGUAUUGACGCUGAGGUGCGAAAGCGUGGGGAGCAAA